GACGAAGGGGGCAAGCGUUGUUCGGAAUCACUGGGCGUAAAGCGCACGUAGGCGGAUUGCUAAGUCAGGGGUGAAAUCCUGGAGCUCAACUCCAGAACUGCCUUUGAUACUGGCGAUCUCGAGUCCGGGAGAGGUGAGUGGAACUGCGAGUGUAGAGGUGAAAUUCGUAGAUAUUAGGAAGAACACCAGUGGCGAAGGCGGCUCACUGGCCCGGUACUGACGCUGAGGCGCGAAAGCGUGGGGAGCAAACAGG
rnacentral:rRNA from 1 species